rnacentral:ncRNA from 1 species
CGGAUAGAGGCGCGGUAUAUGCGCGUAGUACGAUGAAGGCUGCCGUGAGCCGUUGAUAUCGUAUGAAUAGCAAUGCCGCCGAAGGGAAAUGUAUGGCAGCAUAUUCCCUGGUUAUAUGCCAAAGGGGCAUAUGACUGUCAUCAUUUGUACUGUGAUGGGGAGCUAUCGU